UAUUUUGGCAGCGGGUUGGCAGAAGUUAUGCGUUCGAUUUAGGAUCGAUUAUAUGGGGUAGUCAUUCCUCACUCGCUU
rnacentral:tRNA from 1 species